rnacentral:rRNA from 1 species
UACCAGACUCCUACGGGAGGCAGCAGUGGGGAAUAUUGGGCAAUGGGCGCAAGCCUGACCCAGCAACGCCGCGUGAAGGAAGAAGGCUUUCGGGUUGUAAACUUCUUUUCUCAGGGACGAAGAAAGUGACGGUACCUGAGGAAUAAGCCCCGGCUAACUACGUGCCAGCAGCCGCGGUAAUACGUAGGGGGCAAGCGUUGUUCGGAAUGACUGGGCGUAAAGGGUGUGUAGGCGGUGUAGCAAGUUAGAAGUGAAAUACCUAGAGCUUAACUCAGGUGCUGCUUCUAAAACUGCUAUACUUGAGUGCAGUAGAGGAAAGUGGAAUUCCUAGUGUAGCGGUGGAAUGCGUAGAUAUUAGGAGGAACAUCAGUGGCGAAGGCGGCUUGCUGGACAGAGACUGACGUUGAGGCUCGAAAGCGUGGAGAGCAAACAGGAUUAGAUACCCGCGUAC